rnacentral:rRNA from 1 species
GCAUGGUCUUAGCUUGCUAAGGCUGAUGGCGACCGGCGCACGGGUGAGUAACACGUAUCCAACCUGCCGUCUACUCUUGGCCAGCCUUCUGAAAGGAAGAUUAAUCCAGGAUGGGAUCAUGAGUUCACAUGUCCGCAUGAUUAAAGGUAUUUUCCGGUAGACGAUGGGGAUGCGUUCCAUUAGAUAGUAGGCGGGGUAACGGCCCACCUAGUCAACGAUGGAUAGGGGUUCUGAGAGGAAGGUCCCCCACAUUGGAACUGAGACACGGUCCAAACUCCUACGGGAGGCAGCAGUGAGGAAUAUUGGUCAAUGGGCGAUGGCCUGAACCAGCCAAGUAGCGUGAAGGAUGACUGCCCUAUGGGUUGUAAACUUCUUUUAUAAAGGAAUAAAGUCGGGUAUGCAUACCCGUUUGCAUGUACUUUAUGAAUAAGGAUCGGCUAACUCCGUGCCAGCAGCCGCGGUAAUACGGAGGAUCCGAGCGUUAUCCGGAUUUAUUGGGUUUAAAGGGAGCGUAGAUGGAUGUUUAAGUCAGUUGUGAAAGUUUGCGGCUCAACCGUAAAAUUGCAGUUGAUACUGGAUGUCUUGAGUGCAGUUGAGGCAGGCGGAAUUCGUGGUGUAGCGGUGAAAUGCUUAGAUAUCACGAAGAACUCCGAUUGCGAAGGCAGCCUGCUAAGCUGCAACUGACAUUGAGGCUCGAAAGUGUGGGUAUCAAACAGG